UGAUGUGAAAAUUAACUUUACACACAAAUUAAACCCUAUUGAAUAUGUAAUUGUAGUAUUAAGCAAGUAGGGAUCAUUCUAACCAGGGAUUAACUAGGUCUGCUAAUCUACUUCAAUUAAACUCUAAAACCCUAAACUAGACUUAAAAACACAAGACUAGACUCUAUAGACUCUAAACCAACCUAAAACACUCAAAACAGCAAAACUAACUUAAAAAGACUCAAAACAGGUUCUAAGGACUAUUUGGACGAAUUUAACACUAAUGAGACUUAAAACACUAAUUUGGACAGAUUGAAACACCUUUUUAACUAAUCUAAGACACUUAUUUAAAAGGGUGGUUGAUCUAGACGAAUUUGAUUAAACUAAACAGAUUGUAAACUAAAGCAAACUAGAUAUGAAAUUGGGUGAAUUGAAUGGUGAAAUAGGUUAGUUAGAGGAUCUUUCUCCACACAUAAACAUAUGCAACAUAAAUCGAUUUUCCAGUAUUUUUUCUUUAAACCAUGAACGACAAUGCCCCAAAUUAAUCGUGAAUGCACAAAUUAACUCUCAGAUUUCCCUAAAUUCAUCGAAUUGAAUGGACAACGCAUCGCAACCAAAUUAUUCUCAUCAAGUUCCUUAUAUGAACAACAUGAUAGAGAUACAUUCAAAGUUCAUUUAGUUCCAUGGAAAUCAUAAGCAUUGACAAGGCAAUUAUAACUAUGAACUGCAUGAUACUCUUACCAAGAAUCUACUUAA
rnacentral:lncRNA from 1 species